UGUGCUGUAUUGACUUUACUUAAUGAGUUUCACUCACACUGUCUCUAAGAAACAAGCUACUAGGGAGGCUGAGGCGCUGAGGUGGAGGAUGGCUUGAGCCAGGAGUUAGUCUGUAGUAAGCUAUGAUUGUGCCACCAGCCUGGGUGACAGAGUAAGACCCUGUCUCCAAACAAACAAACAAAUAAAGGUACCUAAAAACAGGAGCUAUUUCUGUUAUCUUUAUCAUCCCAUACCAGGCACAAAAAAUAUGGAUCGUAAAAUGAAAGAACCAAACAGGGGAAAAACCUUAAUGAAAAACCUUAAUGCAAAGUUAACUAAUAUAGAUGAUGAUAGUGCUAUUCUCCCAAACUAACCUUAUAAAGAUACAAUAAAAAUGUAUUAGGAAUCUAAAGUAAAAAUAAAAUAUAGCACCGUUACAUGAUUAUUCUGUGAUUUUAGGUUUGUACAUGACUACUUUAUUUUUUACACACUCAAAAGAUGUAGUAUGCUAUGCUGCAUUUAGUAAGAAGUGAAAAGUAUAAAUUUUUACCACAUCAGACUCUGGAGAAAAUUCCAAAUACAAGGCCAGUUUCCAGAAGAGACCUGAAUUGUCCAACAUGAGUAGCUGCUCUGAGCAAUUUGCCUGUAGAAUGUUUGCAUAUCAAAGAAGCUGUUGCUAGGUGAACACAUCACAGAGGUACAAAGAAAAAGGACCUUCUAAAGUGUUACAGUAAAACCUGUAGCUCUGGCUGGGCGCAGUGGCUCACGCCUGUAAUCCCAGCACUUUGGGAGGCCAAGG
rnacentral:lncRNA from 10 species